AUUGAACGCUGGCGGCAUGCCUUACACAUGCAAGUCGAACGGCAGCGGACCUUCGGGUGCCGGCGAGUGGCGAACGGGUGAGUAAUGCAUCGGAACGUACCUUUCAGUGGGGGAUAACGUAGCGAAAGUUACGCUAAUACCGCAUAUUCUGUGAGCAGGAAAGCAGGGGAUCGCAAGACCUUGCGCUGAUUGAGCGGCCGAUGUCAGAUUAGCUAGUUGGGGAGGUAAAGGCGCACCAAGGCGACGAUCUGUAGCGGGUCUGAGAGGAUGACCCGCCACACUGGGACUGAGACACGGCCCAGACUCCUACGGGAGGCAGCAGUGGGGAAUUUUGGACAAUGGGGGCAACCCUGAUCCAGCCAUGCCGCGUGAGUGAAGAAGGCCUUCGGGUUGUAAAGCUCUUUCGGCCGGGAAGAAAUCGCACAGGCUAAUACCUUGUGUGGAUGACGGUACCGGAAUAAGAAGCACCGGCUAACUACGUGCCAGCCGCCGCAGUAAGAC
rnacentral:rRNA from 1 species